rnacentral:lncRNA from 1 species
AGCAAGAAUUUCAGGCCUGAGGAGGAGGAUCAGGUCCAGGUCACAGGAUUAAGGCCGGCAGUGAGGGUGAAGUUAGGGCUAGGGCUGGGGAUACAGCUUAGUGGCAGAGCAUGAGGCCCUAUCAACCCCAGCACUCCCACCUCAAAGAAACAAAACAAAACAAAACAAAACAAAACAAAGAUUGGGCUGAGGAUUUAGCUCAGUGGUUCCCUUGCCUGCCUUGCAAGCACAAAGACCCAAGUUCGAUUCCCAGUAUCAAAAAAAAAACCAAAAAACAAAACAAACCGGAAAAUCUGCUCCAGUGACCUUUUCAAGCGGCUCCCGGCUGUGCCACUCCACUUCUGAAACAGCUGGGCUCCUCCUCGCCAGCUGGCUCGUGCGCAGCUCAGCAGCUAGGCCCAGGAGUCACCUUGGCUCCAAACUCGUCAGGGUCAGCCGCCCUCCUACCAUCCCCGGCAUGAACUGAGCACUGCGGGGCUGAAGGGGAAACUGAGCGCUCGCCUUUCCCGUGUCCUGUGAGCAACCAGGUUGGUACUGAAGUCCAGUUCCCUCUGUAACUCAGGCCCAGAUUCCCGUUCCCCUUCUGGGUCAGCUCUCUGACACUCUCUCCUCUGUAGGUGGUCCGAAACCCUAAGUUACAGAGGAGAGGAUGAGGGCCUGGGGUGCGACCAUGGCUGGUAGGUCCCCUAGCGGGGAUCCGAGGGAGCUCUGGUCAGGGGCCAGCCUGUUCCAGCGCUGCACACAGGAGGCCGGGAAGAGGUUCUGGGGACACCGGGCCAGCGGCAGGUUGCUCAGAGGCCCCAGAGGCACCCUUCCCACUGCUUCCAGAGCAGGACCCCGGCGUCUACUACCUGCCCCUCCGGACCGAGGCACAGGGGCCGCGCCUCGAGACGUGGCAGCAGCUGGUUGUGUGGCACCCAGUAUGGUGAAAAUCCUCAAACACAGAGAUAUGUGA